rnacentral:rRNA from 1 species
UACGAAGGGGGCUAGCGUUGUUCGGAAUUACUGGGCGUAAAGCGCGUGUAGGCGGGUCUUUAAGUCAGGGGGGAAAUGCCAGGGCUCAACCUUGGAACUGCCUUUGGUACUGGAGACCUUGAGUCCGGGAGAGGUGAGUGGAAUUGCGAGUGUAGAGGUGAAAUUCGUAGAUAUUCGCAAGAACACCAGUGGCGAAGGCGGCUCACUGGCCCGGAACUGACGCUGAGACGCGAAAGCGUGGGGAGCAAACAGG